AGUGAACGCUGGCGGUAGGCCUAACACAUGCAAGUCGAACGGUAGCACAGUAAGAGCUUGCUCUUACGGGUGGCGAGUGGCGGACGGGUGAGGAAUACAUCGGAAUCUACUUUUUCGUGGGGGAUAACGUAGGGAAACUUACGCUAAUACCGCAUACGACCUACGGGUGAAAGCAGGGGAUCUUCGGACCUUGCGCGAUUGAAUGAGCCGAUGUCGGAUUGGCUAGUUGGCGGGGUAAAGGCCCACCAAGGCGACGAUCCGUAGCUGGUCUGAGAGGAUGAUCAGCCACACUGGAACUGAAACACGGUCCAGACGCCUACGGGAGGCAGCAGUGGGGAAUAUUGGACAAUGGGCGCAAGCCUGAUCCAGCCAUACCGCGUGGGUGAAGAAGGCCUUCGGGUUGUAAAGCCCUUUUGUUGGGAAAGAAAAGCAGCAGGUUAAUACCCCGCUGUUCUGACGGUACCCAAAGAAUAAGCACCGGCUAACUUCGUG
rnacentral:rRNA from 1 species